rnacentral:rRNA from 1 species
AGAGUGAACGCUAGUAGUACGCUUUACACAUGCGAGUCAAACAUUGAAAAAUGUGGCGAACGGGUGAGUAACAUGUGAGAAGUUACCUCUUAGUUCGGGCUAAAUCCCGGAUAAAAAAAUUAUUUUGCUAAGAGAUACGCUUGCACAAGAUUAGGUAGUUGGUGUGAUAAAGGCUCACCAAGCCGACGAUCUUUAGCUGGUUUGAGAGAAUGAUCAGCCACACAGGGACUGAGACAAGGCCCUGGCUUUUUUAAAGCCAGCAGUGAGGAAUAUUGGACAAUGAGCGAAAGCUUGAUCCAGCGAUACUACGUGGAGGAAGAAGGCUUAUUUGGUCGUAAACUUCUAUAACCAAUCAAGAUAAUGACUUAAAUUGGUGAAAAGUUCUGGUUAAUUUCGUGCCAGCAACCGCGGUAAUACGAAAAGAGCAAGCGUUAUUCGGAAUAAUUGGGUGUAAAGGGUUCGUAGGCGGUAAAGUGGCAAGUUCAAAUAGAAAGGGAAGAGCGCAACUCUUCUUAGUAUUCUGAAAACGCCUUUACUAGAGUAUAAGGGAAGAUAAGAGAACGUUAAAGGAAAAGAUAAAAUUUACAGAUCUUUAACGGAAUACCAAAAGCGAAGGCACUUAUCUAGCUUAUUUUACUGACGCUGAGGGACGAAGGGGUAGGUAGCGAAUGGGAUUAGAGACCCCAGUAGUCUACCCUGUAAACGAUGAGUACUCACGCUUAGAAUUAUUAUUUUAGGCGUCUAGCUAACGCGUUAAGUACUCCACCUGAAGAGUACAAUCGCAAGAUCGGAACUCAAAGGAAUUGGCAGGGGCUCAUACAAUUGGUGGAGCAUGUGGUUUAAUAUGAUAAUACGCUUGAAAUCUUACCAGUUCUUGAUUUAUAUUGUUGUAAAACAAAGAAUAUAACAGGUACUGCAUGGCUGUCGUCAGCUCGUGUCGUGAGAUGUUUGGUUUAGUCCUUUAACGAGCGCAACCCCUAUUUGUUGUCUGCAAAUUGUUUUUUAUAACAACAAUGAUUCUACAAAAAAAAUUCAUUAUAAGUGAAAGGAAGGGGGAUUACGUCAAGUCGGUAUGAUCUUUAUGAACUGGGCUACACACGUGCUACAAUGGGAAUUACAAAAUGAAGUGAGAAUGCGAAUUCUAACAAAUCAUUAAAAAUUUCCGUAGUUCGGACUAUUGACUGAAACUCGUCAAUAUGAAGCUGGAAUCAUUAGUAAUCGUAAAUCAGUAUGUUACGGUGAAUUUGUACCUGAGCCUUGUACACACCGCCCGUCACAUGUCGGGAGUUAAACCUACUUAAAAAAGUUAGUAACAACGAUUCACGCUUUAUGCGUUAAGAGAGUUCUAAUUUCCAGAGGUGGUUUAGUGACUGAGAUGAAGUCGAAACAAGGUAGGCGUACGGGAAC